UCAGAGACAGCAAUAUUGUUGGUAUACAGCAUGAAAAAAAUAUUGAUUACUGCUCUUCAAAAAGCUCCCAGAGCUGCUUACACCUGCUUGGCUGAUUUCCCUGGGCUGUGCUGAGGAGUGAGAGAGGGUGAGAGGAGUUGGUACUAAUGCGAUUCAUCUCCCUUCUAUACCCCAGCAUACAAUGGGAAAGGCCUGAUUUUCACCAUCACCUACAGUACCAGGGACAUGCACCUGAUACGAAUCCCAGGGUUAGAAUCCUUCCUCGUCCAACUCCCAGGUACUGUCUAUUAGUCAGCAGUCUGUGCAGAAUGCAUACCAGUACAACAAACACUUGUC
rnacentral:lncRNA from 1 species